rnacentral:rRNA from 1 species
AGGGUUCGAUUCUGGCUCAGGAUGAACGCUAGCUACAGGCUUAACACAUGCAAGUCGAGGGGCAGCAUGGAGUUUGCUUGCAAACUCUGAUGGCGACCGGCGCACGGGUGAGUAACGCGUAUCCAACCUUCCCUAUAGUAGAGGAUAGCCCGGCGAAAGUCGGAUUAAUACUCUAUGUUUUCCGUUGCAGACAUCUAAGAUGGAACAAAGGCUUGCCGCUAUAGGAUGGGGGAUGCGUCUGAUUAGGUAGUCGGCGGGGUAACGGCCCACCGAGCCAUCGAUCAGUAGGGGUUCUGAGAGGAAGGUCCCCCACAUUGGAACUGAGACACGGUCCAAACUCCUACGGGAGGCAGCAGUGAGGAAUAUUGGUCAAUGGACGAGAGUCUGAACCAGCCAAGUAGCCGUGCAGGACGACGGCCCUAUGGGUUGUAAACUGCUUUUAUGCGGGGAUAAAGUUCACUACGUGUAGUGUUUUGUAGGUACCGCAUGAAUAAGGACCGGCUAAUUCCGUGCCAGCCGCCGC